ACUCGACAGAAUGAAUUCAUCUGAUCUUCAUGGUUAAACCUUUGAAAGUGAUUGUGAAACUAAAACAUGUUAAUAUUACAAUAUGAUGUAGACAUGUUUCACUCAUUUAAUGGACACGCUGGCUCCUAAUGCUCUCGCUAACUUUCUAUUAUUUCUAUUAUGGUUUUUUUAUUAUUCUUAUUAUAUCCAUGUAUGGCUCGUUAUACUACCUCUACCUAUAUUAUAUUACCUCUACCUAUAUUAUACUACCUCUACCUAUAUUAUACUACCUCUACCUAUAUUAUACUACCUCUACCUAUAUUAUACUACCUCUACCUACUAGGAUGUCAGGCUAGCGAGCUCUUUAGUAUCCAGGUAGAGCUCAGUGUUGGAUUAGGGUGUUACUGUCUGUAGCACUAGCAGCUAAAUGGUCUCUUAUAGAGGGAGAGGUUUAUUUUACAGACGGGGAUUCUGGUUUUAGUGCUGGAUGUUUUUAUUAUUUAUUUAUGUGGGGACACAUUAUGAAGACAUAACCACAUAACAAACAGAUAGUUAUUUACAGAUUGUAUGAGUGUAAUGCAGAGUUCUAUUCAGAAGUGAUCUCCCGUUGUGUUGCUUAUUGGGGUGUGGCUCUAGAGGCACAUUCAAUCAGCAAUAAGCCAUCCAGAGCAGGUUAUAAGCAGCCUCUGAUUGAGUUCAGUUAACUCCACAUCCAGAGCAGGUUAUAAGCAGCCUCUGAUUGAGUUCAGUUAACUCCACAUCCAGAGCAGGUUAUAAGCAGCCUCUGAUUGAGUUCAGUUAACUCCACAUCCAGAGCAGGUUAUAAGCAGCCUCUGAUUGAGUUCAGUUAACUCCACAUCCAGAGCAGGUUAUUAGCAGCCUCUGAUUGAGUUCAGUUAACUCCACAUCCAGAGCAGGUUAUAAGCAGCCUCUGAUUGAGUUCAGUUAACUCCACAUCCAGAGCAGGUUAUAAGCAGCCUCUGAUUGAGUUCAGUUAACUCCACAUCCAGAGCAGGUUAUAAGCAGCCUCUGAUUGAGUUCAGUUAACUCCACAUCCAGAGCAGGUUAUUAGCAGCCUCUGAUUGAGUUCAGUUAACUCCACAUCCAGAGCAGGUUAUAAGCAGCCUCUGAUUGAGUUCAGUUAACU